rnacentral:rRNA from 1 species
GGGUGAGUAACACGUGGGCAACCUGCCUCAUAGAGGGGAAUAGCCUUCCGAAAGGGAGAUUAAUACCGCAUAAGAUUGUAGUACCGCAUGGUACAGCAAUUAAAGGAGCAAUCCGCUAUGANAUGGGCCCGCGGCGCAUUAGCUAGUUGGUGAGGUAACGGCUCACCAAGGCGACGAUGCGUAGCCGACCUGAGAGGGUGAUCGGCCACAUUGGGACUGAGACACGGCCCAGACUCCUACGGGAGGCAGCAGUGGGGAAUAUUGCACAAUGGGGGAAACCCUGAUGCAGCAACGCCGCGUGAGUGAUGACGGCCUUCGGGUUGUAAAGCUCUGUCUUCAGGGACGAUNAUGACGGUACCUGAGGAGGAAGCCACGGCUAACUACGUGCC